rnacentral:lncRNA from 1 species
UUAUUUUCGGUUGUCUAUUUGUUAUUUUUUUUAUCAUGGAUUCUAGAUAAACCUUGUUUUCAUUGUUUGAUGCUAAUAAAUUUUCCAAAUAAAUGUUUAUUUAGAGCUCUCUGUUCUAUUAUGCUAGAAUUUUUUAAGUUUUUUGGGUGUAAUGAUUGCCAAACGCAAAUUUUAUAUCUAAGCAAGAGAUGAUCAUUUAAUAAUUGUAAAAUCUGAAACGGUAGCUUAUAUAACUUACUUUCUUAAAUCUGAAUUACAAAUCUAAUCAUGACUGCUUGGUCCAUUUUUGCUUUGUUAUAUAUUAUUUUGCAUGUGCUGAUAUUGUAGCAAUGGUUCCCUUCACAUUUAAUUUAUAGGACACUACAUCGAUAAGAAAUGUCCUUUCACCGGAACUGUUUCUAUCAGGGGACGAAUCAUAACUGGAACCUGUCAUAGUGCAAAGAUGAAUAGAACAAUCGUUGUGAGGCGAAAUUAUCUUCAUUUUGUUAAGAAGUAUCAGAGGCAAGUUUUUUUAUCUGUAUUUGUGUUAUGAAAUUUUAAAAAUUAGAAUCUAUAAUAUAUGAACAUAUAUCUUGUUUUCAGAUAUGAGAAAAGGCACUCUAAUAUCCCUGCUCACAUAUCCCCUUGUUUCCGGGCCAAGGAGGGUGACCACAUCAUCAUUGGACAAUGUAGACCAUUGUCGAAAACUGUGAGAUUCAAUGUUUUGAAGGUGAUCCCAGCUGGUUCAACUGGUGUAGGGAAGAAAGCUUUCACAGCAAUAUAGAAGAGAGCUUUUUUUUGGGUUAGAACUUGUUAUUUUCACUUUUGACAUGUUUAAAAAAAGUCAAUUCAGUAUUGUUGUUUUGAGUUAUUCACUACAUUUAUUUUGUUUGUUAUUUUCUUCCUGAACCUUAGAUCAUGUUUUAUUUAUUAUUGAAAUCUUGCACUUUUUUGUUCACUAAUAUUUUUUUUUAUUGAUCAAGUAUGUUUAAAAUUCGAAAAAAAAUUAUUUCCUUUUUCCUUUUCUCAUUUUAAAAUUUUCAUUUCUUUAUCAAUAUUUUUGAAUGAGAAAGAUUAGAUCAUUAGGCGAUUACCUGUUUAAUCAAAUGAAUCAUUUUAAUUUUAAUUUUCGAUUUUAAUUUUUCAUGAGGAUGUUCUUGUUAUUGAGGUAUAAGGAACUGUAGUCUGUAGAUACUAUUUUGAAGGCAAGACAUAGCUUCAUUUGCCUGUGGUAUUUUCAUAUGGAUCCGAACUGAUCACACGAAAUUGAAUCAGGCACUGGGGAACAUCUGAUGGAUUAAUCGAUGGCCAUUGGUACGUUCCCAGUUGCUGUAUGGAACUACAAUUGACGAUCCAUAUAGACCUAAGGGAAAUUGUUAAAUCUAACCACCUAAGGUUGGUUAGGAGUUAAAACUACUCACCUAUAAAUUUUAUGACCAUUUUACCCUUACUUUUUUUUUAAAUUUUCUUUCACAUGCCAUUGUCAGUAACGGGUAUAAGAAAAAACCCAUCGUCCUCCCACCUCCCAUACUUCUAUGGAUUCUAGCGUCCUCCUUCCUCCUCCAUAUUCUCCUCCAGAUAUAUCAGAUGAUGGGUUACUCAAUGGGAGGAAGAAAAAGAAAAACAGCACCAAGGAGUUCAGGGAAGUACCGGUAUCAGAUGAUGGGUUCGUCAAUGAGAGGGAGAAGGAGAAGAGCAUCCCCAAAGAGAUCAUGGAAAUACCAAAAUCAGAUAUGGAUCUCAUCAAAG